rnacentral:misc_RNA from 1 species
GAAAUGCGAUAAGUAAUGUGAAUUGCAGAAUUCCGUGAAUCAUCGAAUCUUUGAACGCACAUUGCGCCCUCUGGUAUUCCGGGGGGCAUGCCUGUCCGAGCGUCAUUGCGAACACCUCAAGCACGGCUUGGGUGAUGGGCCCUCCCGCGUCUUGGUCGUCAAGACGGGCCCGAAAAGCAGUGGCGGCUUCGCGGUUAUCCGAUCAGCCAGAGCGUAUGGGGACUUUCUCUCUGUCACACGCCCGCGGCGCGGACCGACGCCUGUCGACCUUUAUUCAUCUUUUUCUCGGUUGACCUCGGAUCAGGUAGGGAUACCCGCUGAACUUAAGC